AAAGAAACUCAAGCAUACCAGGCAGAAACAGCCAUACUUGCAUUAAAAAUUAAAAAAAAAAAUUGCUAUCAUUCUUUGAGGUUACUGUCAAUGUGAAGAGUAAUACUGUCUAUGUACAUUAUUGCAAAGUGAGCUAUAAGAUGAAUAUAGAAAAAACUCUUAGAGCCCUUCCUAACCUCUUCUGGGACUCUUUAUGUCAGGCAGCUCAGUUUCUCUAUAGUUCUGAAAACACCUAUAAACUCAGGUAGAACCAGAUACAAAUGAAUUUUUUUUCCCAAACCAAACUGAAAUUCUUCUGAGACGACCCACACCUGUUUCCAUAAACAGCACAGGUAUAGGCAACCACAUAACAGUAUUAUUUUUUUGAAUUUGGGGUUGUAACUCUGUGGUAGCGUGCUGAACUCACAAGAUACUGGGUUAAAUCCACAACAGACACUAGUAUGGCAGUAUGUAAAAAAGUGGAUGUGUAACUGAUGUGAAUCUGCAAUAU
rnacentral:lncRNA from 1 species